CCUUUGUUGCCAGCGGUUAGGCCGGGAACUCAAAGGAGACUGCCAGUGAUAAACUGGAGGAAGGUGGGGAUGACGUCAAGUCAUCAUGGCCCUUACUAGUAGGGCUACACACGUGCUACAAUGGCGCAUACAAAGAGAAGCGACCUCGCGAGAGCAAGCGGACCUCAUAAAGUGCGUCGUAGUCCGGAUUGGAGUCUGCAACUCGACUCCAUGAAGUCGGAAUCGCUAGUAAUCGUGGAUCAGAAUGCCACGGUGAAUACGUUCCCGGGCCUUGUACACACCGCCCGUCACACCAUGGGAGUGGGUUGCAAAAGAAGUAGGUAGCUUAACCUUCGGGAGGGCGCUUACCACUUUGUGAUUCAUGACUGGGGUGAAGUCGUAACAAGGUAGCCGU
rnacentral:rRNA from 1 species